AAGUCGUAACAAGGUUUCCGUAGGUGAACCUGCGGAAGGAUCAUUAUUGAAAUAAUAUAUACACUCUGUGAACUGUGAAAUAAUAUACACUAAAACAUUAAAUUUUGUAAUUUAUACAACUUUUAACGGUGGAUCUCUUGGCUCCUGCAACGAUGAAGAACGCAGCGAAAUGCGAUAAGUAAUGCGAAUCGCAACAGCUCGCGAGUCAUCAAAUCUUUGAACGCACACUGCGCUCUACGCAAGUAGAGCAUGCCUGUUUGAGUAUCAGUCCGCCCCUCAUUCAGUUAGAAUGGAAAUGAGCAUCAGCAGAUAAAUUUUUAUUCGCUGUCGCUUUAAAUAUUGUUUCGAGGCAGAGACGUUGCUAAUGUUUCGUCAUACUGUCCAAAUCACAUUACAUUGAUCUCAAAUCAGGCAAGAAGACCGGCUGAACUUA
rnacentral:rRNA from 1 species